CGAAAGACUUGGGUAGUGAGAUG
rnacentral:miRNA from 12 species